GACGAACGCUGGCGGCGUGCUUAACACAUGCAAGUCGAACGGAAAGGCCCUGCUUUUGUGGGGUGCUCGAGUGGCGAACGGGUGAGUAACACGUGAGUAACCUGCCCUUGACUUUGGGAUAACUUCAGGAAACUGGGGCUAAUACCGGAUAGGAGCUCCUGCUGCAUGGUGGGGGUUGGAAAGUUUCGGCGGUUGGGGAUGGACUCGCGGCUUAUCAGCUUGUUGGUGGGGUAGUGGCUUACCAAGGCUUUGACGGGUAGCCGGCCUGAGAGGGUGACCGGACACGGUGGGCGGGAACUGAGACCCAGCCCCCACCGGGAGGCGAGGGGGGGGUAUAUGACAGAAGGGGAGGAGCGCGAACCCAACCCGGCCGUGCGGGGGGGGGGGGCCUUGGGUUAGAAAUCGAUUUCCCUUGGACAGAAGGGGGGAGUGACGGUAGUGGGAAAAGAAGCCCGGGCUAACUCCGUG
rnacentral:rRNA from 1 species